CGACCCCAGGACGGGCGGCCCCCCCCGCCGAGUUUAAGCAUAUCAA
rnacentral:rRNA from 1 species